rnacentral:rRNA from 1 species
UACGGAGGGUGCAAGCGUUAUCCGGAUUUACUGGGUUUAAAGGGUGCGUAGGCGGACUUUUAAGUCAGUGGUGAAAGCUCCGAGCUUAACUCGGAAACUGCCAUUGAUACUUAUUUAGUCUUGAAUUCGGUUUGGAGGUUGGCGGAAUGUGUCGUGUAGCGGUGAAAUGCUUAGAUAUGACACAGAAACACCGAUUGCGAAGGCAGCUAGCUAAAACCGACAUUACGCUGAGGCACGA